rnacentral:lncRNA from 1 species
ACUCGCCGCUUCCCCACCAAACAAUCACCCAGUGACCUAGGAGUUCUCUGUAGAACGUGUCGGACAUGGUCAUGGUUUACCCAACACUGUAAAGGGAAUGUUCAAUGAAAUACAAAGAAAACGAUUACUUUUUUUUUCCAAGAGAAUUAUUCCAGCCUUGGAGUGGAAUGGGUGUGGACAGUGAGCAGAGAAACAAGAAACCAAGUUCUGGAAGGAAAUAAAAUGAAUAUAAUCAGUGGAAAAUUCAGCAACGCAAUAUUGUGCGACAACAGUAAAUGACCAAUUUAUAAUUUAAAUUCUAUGAAAAAGAGAUUUAGAAGAGAGUUCUACCAAGCCCACUGUUGCCUAGGGAAUGAAAUGAGUAACGCUGGCUGGCAACAGCGCAUCCGGAGGGAGCCUGGAGAAACAACAGCAGCCUCCGACCUCAAGAUAUCCUGUUUCUGGAAUUGCCUUUGAAGCUGACUCCUUGGUUUUGGGAUGCUCACCACAAUGGACACCUUAUUCAUUUAUAUACAAGGUAAUAAUAUUCACCCAUUAAUCUUGAAGAAAGCUGUACAACUCACCUUAAGUUUGCAUGCUGAUGCUACGCACUGAGAUUUUUGUAUUCUGUUUAGUAAUGCAAAUUGAGCUUUCCUUUAGCCAGCCUGCAUGCCUUUGAAGAGGUGAAGAAAUGGCUUUCUAAAAUUUUAGUGAUUUAGAUUAGAUGAUUUAGCAACUAUAGGGAAGCACUGUAAACUAUCG